UACGGAGGGUGCAAGCGUUAAUCGGAUUUACUGGGCGUAAAGCGUCCGUAGGCGGUUAGAUCAGUUGGGUGUGAAAGCCCCGGGCUCAACCUGGGAAUUGCACUCAAUACUGUCUGACUAGAGUUUGUGAGAGGGAGGUGGAAUUCCAGGUGUAGCGGUGAAAUGCGUAGAUAUCUGGAAGAACACCAGUGGCGAAGGCGACCUCCUGGCACAAAACUGACGCUGAGGGACGAAAGCGUGGGGAGCAAACAGG
rnacentral:rRNA from 1 species